rnacentral:lncRNA from 1 species
AGUCUGUGCUGCAAUGACCUGUUGUNUUUAGUUUGUUUCCUACUUUUCAUCUCUUUCAAUAUUCUUUUGAGGCCUUCAUAAUCCAUGUAUUCUUUCUCCCACUCAGGCACCAUUUGUUGCUUAAAGUCUUUCUUAAAUGUCAUCUUUCAUGUGUGACACAUAUGUUAUAACAAAGAAAACAUCAUACAAGAAAGUUCAACAUGUAACAUACUCAAGGAAAACAUCUUAGGAAACACUGAAACANGAGUUAACACAAUAUGCAGCCUAAAUUUUCCUGAUAUGUAGAGCUACUCUCAUCAACAUCUCAAUUCUAACAAAUAUAAGAUUACUACUAAAUAAUACUAAUGAUAAUUACAUUAUAAAAUUUAUCCUUCUAACCUAUCAAUCAUCAUUGCAUUAUCCUAUCUAUUACUAACAAUUAAUAAUAAUGAUAAAAAGACAAGAAACUAGAAUUUCACAGUCCAACACAAUGUCCUUAAGGCUUCAGAAUGUUUAGUUUGAACUGUGAAGAUGGAUUCAUGUAGAAGCAAAUGAAAGGGACUUUACAAUCUAGUCAGGAUAAGAACAAAAAGUAACACAUGAAAAGCAAGAACUUCAUAAUUAGAUGUAACAAGUUCGUACACUAAAAUUACAAGAAAGGGGAAGUCAGAAAUAUACACAGACUAGCAGCUACAACAAAACUAUAACAAAGCCAACUUAAAUGUUUAAGCACUUUGUCUCAUACAGAAGCUCUCUCUCUCUCUAUAUUUAUAUUUAUG